AGCGAACGCUGGCGGCAGGCCUAACACAUGCAAGUCGAACGAACCCUUCGGGGUUAGUGGCGGACGGGUGAGUAACACGUGGGAACGUGCCUUUAGGUUCGGAAUAACUCAGGGAAACUUGUGCUAAUACCGAAUGUGCCCUUCGGGGGAAAGAUUUAUCGCCUUUAGAGCGGCCCGCGUCUGAUUAGCUAGUUGGUGAGGUAAUGGCUCACCAAGGCUACGAUCUGUAGCUGGUCUGAGAGGAUGACCAGCCACAUUGGGACUGAGACACGGCCCAAACUCGUACGGGAGGCAGCAGUGGGGAAUUUUGCGCAAUGGGCGAAAGCCUGACGCAGCCAUGCCGCGUGGAUGAUGAAGGUCUUAGGAUUGUAAAAUCCUUUCACCGGUGAAGAUAAUGACUGUAGCCGGAGAAGAAGCCCCGGCUAACUUCGUGCCAGCCGCCGCCGUAAAAC
rnacentral:rRNA from 1 species